GAGGGGGUCUGAUGCUCCCCUUCUUCCAGGCUUCACUGGUCUGUCACUUCAGCUUCACGUGGCAGGCUAAUGUGACUGUUCCCCCAGCUUUCUUCACCAUCGACUAUCGUGACGAACUGAGUUGUUGCAUCAAAGGAAAUCCCAGUCUGAUAAGAAGUGAUAACAUGGACCACCGCCAUCGCCCUCAGCGCCCCGGAGGGAGAAGCUAGAGAUGCCUUCAGGAGAGCAGGAGGAGCUGCAAAAUCUGGGGACAGAGCCCCACCUUGUGGAAGCAACCUCAAGCCCUGCUCGCCAGAGGCAUUCGUGGGGUGGCUUGUGAGCUUGGACCAGGUGAUCCUUGAGGUCCCUUCCAACCUGGUAUUCUAUGACCUUGUGCCCCACACUGUGCCUGCUGCCACACCGGUUAGUCUAAUAAAAGGUUUUAUCUCAGUGUCAGUCACAGCACAACAUCGU